UACAGUCAUAUCAUGAUGAAAUACCGGUUCUUAUCCGAUCACCAAAGUUAAGCAACAUUGUGUUUGGUCAGUACCUAGAUGGGUGACUGCUUGGGAAUAGCAGGUGCUGUAA